CAAAAGUCUUCUGUGCCAGCAUCGUCUUAGGGGUGGGAGACACAGACAGGAGUAGAUGCUGCUCUCACCUGAAGGAAGCAAGCAGAACAUUAAAGAUAACCAACCGUGGUUCUCUCCUGGCCAUGAGGAAGCUCCAAGAACACUCCAAAGUAAAUAACAGAGAAAUCCAAGGAAGGACUAGGCUACGAGUAUCCACAUGAUAUUAUAAUGACCAACCUUCAAAAUACCUUCAGUAGAUGGAACUCAAGAGCUUUUACAGCUUUUUCUACCUUACCUGGUUGGUUUGUGAAAGACCUAAACUUGGAUGGACAGGGGCAAUUCGUCUUAAAGCCCUGGGAGUCAGCUAGAAGCCAGCAGCAAAGACAUCCUAUAACUCAUUAG
rnacentral:lncRNA from 1 species